rnacentral:rRNA from 1 species
GGAGUUUGGGCCGUGUCUCAGUCCCAAUGUGGCCGUUCAUCCUCUCAGACCGGCUACUGAUCAUGGCCUUGGUGGGCCGUUACCUCACCAACCAGCUAAUCAGACGCGGGCCCAUCUUCCAGCGAUGGCUUGCAAGCAGAGGCCAUCUUUCAUCCCUCCUCCAUGCGGUGGAGGGAUCGUAUUCGGUAUUAGCAUCCCUUUCGGAAUGUUGUCCCCAUCUGGAGGGCAGGUUGCCCACGCGUUACUCACCCGUUCGCCACUAAGAACUUACCGAAAUAAGUUCUCCGUUCGACUUGCAUGUGUUAAGCACGCCGCCAGCGUUCGUCCUGAGCCAGGAUCAAACUACU